rnacentral:rRNA from 1 species
GGCAGUCAGAGGCGAUGAAGGACGUGCUAAUCUGCGAUAAGCGUCGGUAAGGUGAUAUGAACCGUUAUAACCGGCGAUUUCCGAAUGGGGAAACCCAGUGUGUUUCGACACACUAUCAUUAACUGAAUCCAUAGGUUAAUGAGGCGAACCGGGGGAACUGAAACAUCUAAGUACCCCGAGGAAAAGAAAUCAACCGAGAUUCCCCCAGUAGCGGCGAGCGAACGGGGAGCAGCCCAGAGCCUGAAUCAGUGUGUGUGUUAGUGGAAGCGUCUGGAAAGGCGCGCGAUACAGGGUGACAGCCCCGUACACAAAAAUGCACAUGCUGUGAGCUCGAUGAGUAGGGCGGGACACGUGGUAUCCUGUCUGAAUAUGGGGGGACCAUCCUCCAAGGCUAAAUACUCCUGACUGACCGAUAGUGAACCAGUACCGUGAGGGAAAGGCGAAAAGAACCCCGGCGAGGGGAGUGAAAAAGAACCUGAAACCGUGUACGUACAAGCAGUGGGAGCACGCUUCGGCGUGUGACUGCGUACCUUUUGUAUAAUGGGUCAGCGACUUAUAUUCUGUAGCAAGGUUAACCGAAUAGGGGAGCCGAAGGGAAACCGAGUCUUAACUGGGCGUUAAGUUGCAGGGUAUAGACCCGAAACCCGGUGAUCUAGCCAUGGGCAGGUUGAAGGUUGGGUAACACUAACUGGAGGACCGAACCGACUAAUGUUGAAAAAUUAGCGGAUGACUUGUGGCUGGGGGUGAAAGGCCAAUCAAACCGGGAGAUAGCUGGUUCUCCCCGAAAGCUAUUUAGGUAGCGCCUCGUGAAUUCAUCUCCGGGGGUAGAGCACUGUUUCGGCAAGGGGGUCAUCCCGACUUACCAACCCGAUGCAAACUGCGAAUACCGGAGAAUGUUAUCACGGGAGACACACGGCGGGUGCUAACGUCCGUCGUGAAGAGGGAAACAACCCAGACCGCCAGCUAAGGUCCCAAAGUCAUGGUUAAGUGGGAAACGAUGUGGGAAGGCCCAGACAGCCAGGAUGUUGGCUUAGAAGCAGCCAUCAUUUAAAGAAAGCGUAAUAGCUCACUGGUCGAGUCGGCCUGCGCGGAAGAUGUAACGGGGCUAAACCAUGCACCGAAGCUGCGGCAGCGACGCUUAUGCGUUGUUGGGUAGGGGAGCGUUCUGUAAGCCUGUGAAGGUGUGCUGUGAGGCAUGCUGGAGGUAUCAGAAGUGCGAAUGCUGACAUAAGUAACGAUAAAGCGGGUGAAAAGCCCGCUCGCCGGAAGACCAAGGGUUCCUGUCCAACGUUAAUCGGGGCAGGGUGAGUCGACCCCUAAGGCGAGGCCGAAAGGCGUAGUCGAUGGGAAACAGGUUAAUAUUCCUGUACUUGGUGUUACUGCGAAGGGGGGACGGAGAAGGCUAUGUUGGCCGGGCGACGGUUGUCCCGGUUUAAGCGUGUAGGCUGGUUUUCCAGGCAAAUCCGGAAAAUCAAGGCUGAGGCGUGAUGACGAGGCACUACGGUGCUGAAGCAACAAAUGCCCUGCUUCCAGGAAAAGCCUCUAAGCAUCAGGUAACAUCAAAUCGUACCCCAAACCGACACAGGUGGUCAGGUAGAGAAUACCAAGGCGCUUGAGAGAACUCGGGUGAAGGAACUAGGCAAAAUGGUGCCGUAACUUCGGGAGAAGGCACGCUGAUAUGUAGGUGAGGUCCCUCGCGGAUGGAGCUGAAAUCAGUCGAAGAUACCAGCUGGCUGCAACUGUUUAUUAAAAACACAGCACUGUGCAAACACGAAAGUGGACGUAUACGGUGUGACGCCUGCCCGGUGCCGGAAGGUUAAUUGAUGGGGUUAGCGGUAACGCGAAGCUCUUGAUCGAAGCCCCGGUAAACGGCGGCCGUAACUAUAACGGUCCUAAGGUAGCGAAAUUCCUUGUCGGGUAAGUUCCGACCUGCACGAAUGGCGUAAUGAUGGCCAGGCUGUCUCCACCCGAGACUCAGUGAAAUUGAACUCGCUGUGAAGAUGCAGUGUACCCGCGGCAAGACGGAAAGACCCCGUGAACCUUUACUAUAGCUUGACACUGAACAUUGAGCCUUGAUGUGUAGGAUAGGUGGGAGGCUUUGAAGUGUGGACGCCAGUCUGCAUGGAGCCGACCUUGAAAUACCACCCUUUAAUGUUUGAUGUUCUAACGUUGACCCGUAAUCCGGGUUGCGGACAGUGUCUGGUGGGUAGUUUGACUGGGGCGGUCUCCUCCUAAAGAGUAACGGAGGAGCACGAAGGUUGGCUAAUCCUGGUCGGACAUCAGGAGGUUAGUGCAAUGGCAUAAGCCAGCUUGACUGCGAGCGUGACGGCGCGAGCAGGUGCGAAAGCAGGUCAUAGUGAUCCGGUGGUUCUGAAUGGAAGGGCCAUCGCUCAACGGAUAAAAGGUACUCCGGGGAUAACAGGCUGAUACCGCCCAAGAGUUCAUAUCGACGGCGGUGUUUGGCACCUCGAUGUCGGCUCAUCACAUCCUGGGGCUGAAGUAGGUCCCAAGGGUAUGGCUGUUCGCCAUUUAAAGUGGUACGCGAGCUGGGUUUAGAACGUCGUGAGACAGUUCGGUCCCUAUCUGCCGUGGGCGCUGGAGAACUGAGGGGGGCUGCUCCUAGUACGAGAGGACCGGAGUGGACGCAUCACUGGUGUUCGGGUUGUCAUGCCAAUGGCACUGCCCGGUAGCUAAAUGCGGAAGAGAUAAGUGCUGAAAGCAUCUAAGCACGAAACUUGCCCCGAGAUGAGUUCUCCCUGACUCCUUGAGAGUCCUGAAGGAACGUUGAAGACGACGACGUUGAUAGGCCGGGUGUGUAAGCGCAGCGAUGCGUUGAGCUAACCGGUACUAAUGAACCGUGAGGCUUAACCUU